ACGCUUAACCGACCGAGCCACCCAGGCACCUCUCCACACUUGCUUUAGAGGACAAUCCCUGGGGCAGGGCAGUGCACAAACGGUGGGAGACAGGGAGGCGCUUGCCAGAGCGGGCUGUGCAGAGGCCUGGGACCGAUGGCUAGAGGCAAGGUGGAGACAUGAGCUCCCGACUCAGUACAGUACAGGGAGUAUCUUAGAGCAGGCACCCUAAGGGUGUGUACGUUCCUAUGAACCUGCCCUGUGGCUCGAGUCUCAGGAGAAAGGAGAUCAGGCAAAGAGGCAAAAGGAAGGAGCUUAUGGCCAGUGUGUUUCUGCUGCCUACUGACUAGCUCCGGGCCCGUGCCGAGAGUUCUGUUCAUCUCUGUGCUCCACACCCCACUGAUGAAAUUUGCUAAGCGUGUCCAGUGUGCCAACCCCGUGCAAAAUGGAGACCACGAAUGAAGGUAGAGGACCCCAUUCUCUUGAUGACUUAGAGAUCUCAACAGGGCGGCUGUGUGAAAGGUGGCAAGCCAGCAGUUUCUACAAAAUGGUUCUGGGGUCCCGGGGUGACUGAUUCAAUCUGGUGGCGGCAGAAGGACUCCCAUACGGAAGGGGUUCUUGAACGCAAGUCCGUGGGCAUAAUGCAGGGUGAUCAUGAACCUGAGUGGGGAAAAAAAACUGUGCACCAGUCAUACUGGAAAUUAGUAUUUCCUUUGAUUAUGAAUGCAGGUGACCACAGUAGUAUCAUCAGAACCCGUGACUCUGUUAUUCAGGUAAAUCAUAGAUGUUUUUAUAUUGUAGUUGGUGUAGAUGUUUCAGAAUAUCACUUAUGCUCAUUACUUUUUGGAAAUUCCAGCAGUUGAUUCAUUCUUGAUAUUUAAUGUGUAAAAAGAAGCACAUCCUUGGUGUUUUAUUAUUUUUGAACAUUGUAUUCCGGUAUAAUUAGCCUUUAAAGUAACCCUGUGUGUUUUAUUUUAUGCUUUCACAACAUCAUUCCGAGUAAGAACCCAUAAGUAUCACCAGACUGACACAGGAGGCCAUUGAACAGAAAAGGUUACAAACUCUGAUUUAGAAGAUCUUUGCUAACCUGUAUCUUGAUUGAUAGGACCCUCGAGGACAGGGAUUUUUUCUUCUUCUUUUUCUUUUUCUUUUUUUCUUUUCUUUCUUUCUUUCUUUCUUUUUUUUUUUUUGUCAUCUCUCCACCUAGUGUGGGGCUCAAACUCACAACCCUGAGAUCAAGAGUCUCAUGCUCUUUGACUGAGCCAGCCAGGCGCCCCGACGACAGGGAUUUUUUUUUUCAUCAUUUCUUCUGUGAGGCCUACAGUGUUGCAUCAGUAAAGCUUUCACGCUCCAGAUUUUCUUUCAUAGAACACAGGUGUCCUGUGUUUGUGGCGUUUGCACCCUUCUGUAGGGCCCUGUGUCUCCCUGUGACACUUCUGCUCAGCCCUCCCCACAGAAACCUCUCAAAUUGUCCCCAGCCACCUGCAGCAUCCUUGGCUCUGUGGAUGGUGAGUCUCUCCAGAGCAGGGACUAUGCAUACAGUGACUCAGUCAGUGUCCGCUGAAUGAAUGAUGUCUACAGGGUAUGAACCGUUCUGGAGACCCAGAGCUUUGGGGCCCAGAAGAAAGGACUCCAUAAAGUCAAGUUCCCUCUUGAGCCCACGGGUCCGCGGAGUGCGGGAACCACCCAGGCUGGGGAGCAUGCAGGGGAAGGCAGGUCCUUCUGAGCCCAGGUAGCCAUCUGACAUUCCUUGUCAGAGCUUGGAGAACCUCAAGAAUGAAGAAAGCCCAGAUCUUCUGCUUCUCUGGCUUCGGAAGAUCAGAGGAUACAUAAAGUUGCUGCUGCUCUGGGAAAACCUGGGAGAGCUCUCCGUUCUCAAGCUUCAGCCCUUUCCCAGGAUGGGGAGGACAGGACAGUUUCAGAUCAAAGAUUUGAAAGGUCAGCUCUCACUGUUAGCCAGAUGGAGAGAUGGUGCGUUCACACCAUUGAAAGGGGCAUUUUUAGUCUUCUUGGAAGUUCUGCACACGUCUGCUCCAAUAUUUCCUACUCUUAAGAAUUCAUUCCAAAUCAGAGCGAGUAUUCAAAGACUGAUCAUUGCAACGUUGUUUGUAACAGCAAAAAAAAAGAAAAAACCGUGGGGUGGACUCCGUGUCCGUCCAUUGGAUUGAUGUUGGAUUGAUGGACUGUUAUCAUUUUGUUUCUUCUCACGUCCAGGUCCUGUGCCGCCGUCAAAUGUGGUCACAAGCGGAUGAAAAUAUCAGGACAUGAAAAGAUGCGCUCGCUCUCUCUCUCACAUACACACACACCGUAGAUCUGUGCAUACGUGUUAACUCAUUUUUCCUUUAGGUUGCAAGAAAAAGAAAUCAAAGCAGUUUGCAAAUUUUAAGUACGUGCUCUUUUCGGCGCAUGCAAAAUUAUUUUACAAAGCUUCCUUUUUUUACGAAAAGAUGUUAUGGAAAAAUUCGGAAGGUUUGAGUUACUUCCUUACUGUACACCUUAAUUGUAAAUGUUAUUGGGGAACUUCCUGCCACGAGGGCUGAAGAAAUUAACACGGUUCUGCUUCCCACCAGUUCCUGGUAUGAUACUGUCGUUACCGUCAUCACCUUCUGACGGUUGUCACCACCGAUUCCCACAGUGAGCUUGUGUCAGUUCUCUCCGUAGUGGUCCUUGUCCGCCACCCGUCUCUGGUUUCUGUAGUCCUGGCUUCACUGACUUGCCUGUUGGCUGGCUCAGCGUCAUUCCACGAUUUGCUUUUCCCAAAGAAGACUUGCGGAUGCUGUCUCCGCUGACCGUUUCUGUGCUGAACAAUGUCUGUGCCUUUAGGCGAAUGGAAUUUGCGGAUGGCACAUUGCCGAAGCUGAAGAGUCUUCAUUCAUACUUUCGGAACUGGCAUUAAGUCUCAUGCUGGUCUUUCUCUCCCUUCUCCAUUCACCUUCUGGUGAGCAAAGCUUAUGCUUAUUUAUUAGUUAGUUUAGCGCUUUUUCUCAGAAAGGUCUGUUGUGUUUAUACAUGGCAUCUUGGCUGAGCGUCAUUUUCAAGGAUCACACGUUUAUUGCCUUUGCUCUGCGAUCUUGUGGCGUUAAUUCUCUCUCUGCCUGGAUGUCUGUCUGCCGUUACUGUCAUUUUAUUCAUGUGGUCCUGCCAGAACUCCCAUUACUGAAGGUGUAACUUCCAGAUCUAUCUUCCCUGUUCUUAAACUUCUCUUCUUCGGAAUUUUCUGUCACCUUCCAGGAGGCUGCUCUGUUUUCCAGUUCACCGGCUUGUGCUUCAGUGAUGUUCAUUCUGCUGGUUGGCUUGUCUCUUGAGGUUUUAUUUUCCCCGAAUCGUAGGAGUGGGUUUUUUUGGUCACACUUGUAAAAAUUCUGAUUAAUUUUCUUUUUGGCAAGUUCUCCCCCCCAGGCUAUAUAUCAGUACUAAACAUUUUUGCUAAUCUGAUGGAGGAGGGUAUGUGGCCAAGACGUAUGUAUUUUGUAGUUCCUCACACAUUAGGUGCAUGAUAAGCAUCUUUCAUAUAUAUAUUUGCUGUUAUGUUUUCUCACCUAUAAAUUGCUUAUGAAAUGC